AGCCAUCCUUUAAAGAAAGCGUAAUAGCUCACUGGUCAAGUGGGCCUGCGCCGAAAAUUUAACGGGGCUAAAGCCAGGCACCGAAGCUUCGGAUUCAUCAGUACUACGGUGCUGGUGAGUGGUAGGAGAGCAUCGUAGCGGCAGUGAAGGUCGAUGGAAACGACGGCUGGAGCUUCUACGAGAGAUAAUGCCGCAAUGAGUAGCGAUAAAGCAUGUGAGAAACAUGCUCGCCGUAAACCCAAGGUUUCCCGGGCCACGUUAAUCGUCCCGGGGUUAGUCGGACCCUAAGCCGAGGCCGAAGGGCGUAGGCGAUGGAAAACAGGUUAAUAUUCCU
rnacentral:rRNA from 1 species